rnacentral:rRNA from 1 species
UGAGGAAUAUUGCGCAAUGGGCGAAAGCCUGACGCAGCAACGCCGCGUGGGGGAUGAAGCUUUAUGGAGUGUAAACCCCUGUAAGUAGGGACGAAAGUUACCUAUUCGAAUAGGAUGGGUAUUUGACGGUACCUACAGAGUAAGCUCCGGCUAACUCCGUGCCAGCAGCCGCGGUAAUACGGGGGGAGCAAGCGUUGUCCGGAAUUACUGGGCGUAAAGGGCGUGUAGGCGGUAUUGUAAGUCAGAUGUAAAAGGCUACGGCUUAACCGUAGAUUGUCAUUUGAAACUGCAGUACUUGAGUGCGAGAGAGGGUAGUGGAAUUCCCAGUGUAGCGGUGAAAUGCGUAGAUAUUGGGAAGAACACCAGUAGCGAAGGCGGCUACCUGGCUCGUAACUGACGCUAAUGCGCGAAAGCGUGGGGAGCGAACAGGAUUAGAUACCCUGGUAGUCCACGCUGUAAACGAUGAACACUAGGUGUUGGUCCCGACGUGUCGGGAUCGGUGCCGCAGCAAACGCAUUAAGUGUUCCGCCUGGGGAGUACGAUCGCAAGGUUG